rnacentral:tmRNA from 1 species
GGGGGCGUACCGGUUUCGACGAGGAUGGCGACGCUCGGGUCGCGCGUCGUGGCGCCCCAGGCCACGUAAAAAGGGGCAAACCAUGCAACUGCGAAUGAUAACGCCGUUGCCCUCGCUGCCUGAUCAAAACUCAGGUAACGACGGUGCCUGCAGCUUCCGUCUGUAGCUUCAGAGCACCGACACAAUCAGGCUGGGCCUCCUGACCCGCCAGCACAAGGAGGCCGAGACAUCGCUGGCUCGUCGCGCUCGCAGGUCGGCCGCCGCUUGCGAGCGCGAGACACUCUACCGGCGUGCCUACACGCGUAGAAGCUCGUCCUGAUCCAUCUUCGGACGCGGGUUCGACUCCCGCCGCCUCCACCA